rnacentral:rRNA from 1 species
UCGAGAAUUUUUCACAAUGGGCGCAAGCCUGAUGGAGCGACGCCGCGUGGGGGAUGAAUGGCUUCGGCCCGUAAACCCCUGUCAUUUGCGAUCAAACCUCGUUAUUUAAAAGAUGACGAGCUGAUGGUAGCGGAAGAGGAAGGGACGGCUAACUCUGUGCCAGCAGCCGCGGUAAUACAGAGGUCCCAAGCGUUGUUCGGAUUCACUGGGCGUAAAGGGUGCGUAGGUGGUGGGGGUAAGUCGGAUGUGAAAGCUCGGAGCUCAACUCCGAAAUGGCAUUGGAAACUACCCUGCUGGAGGGUCGGAGGGGGGACUGGAAUUCUCGGUGUAGCAGUGAAAUGCGUAGAUAUCGAGAGGAACACCAGUGGCGAAGGCGAGUCCCUGGACGACACCUGACACUGAGGCACGAAAGCUAGGGGAGCAAACAGGAUUAGAUACCCUGGUAGUCCUAGCCGUAAACGGUGCACGUUUGCUGUAAAAGGAAUCGACCCCUUUUGU